GAUGAACGCUGGCGGCGUGCCUAAUACAUGCAAGUCGAGCGAACAGACGAGGAGCUUGCUCCUCUGACGUUAGCGGCGGACGGGUGAGUAACACGUGGAUAACCUACCUAUAAGACUGGGAUAACUUCGGGAAACCGGAGCUAAUACCGGAUAAUAUAUUGAACCGCAUGGUUCAAUAGUGAAAGACGGUUUUGCUGUCACUUAUAGAUGGAUCCGCGCCGCAUUAGCUAGUUGGUAAGGUAACGGCUUACCAAGGCAACGAUGUGUAGCCGACCUGAGAGGGUGAUCGGCCACACUGGAACUGAGACACGGUCCAGACUCCUACGGGAGGCAGCAGUAGGGAAUCUGCCGCAAUGGGCGAAAGCCUGACGGAGCAACGCCGCGUGAGUGAUGAAGGUCUUCGGAUCGUAAAACUCUGUUAUUAGGGAAGAACAAAUGUGUAAGUAACUAUGCACGUCUUGACGGUACCUAAUCAGAAAGCCACGGCUAACUACGU
rnacentral:rRNA from 1 species